rnacentral:rRNA from 1 species
AUUGAACGCUGGCGGCAGGCCUAACACAUGCAAGUCGAGCGGAUGAAGGGAGCUUGCUCCUGGAUUCAGCGGCGGACGGGUGAGUGAUGCCUAGGAAUCUGCCUGGUAGUGGGGGAUAACGUCCGGAAACGGGCGCUAAUACCGCAUACGUCCUGAGGGAGAAAGUGGGGGAUCUUCGGACCUCACGCUAUCAGAUGUGCCUAGGUCGGAUUAGCUAGUUGGUGGGGUAAAGGCCUACCAAGGCGACGAUCCGUAACUGGUCUGAGAGGAUGAUCAGUCACACUGGAAGUGAGACACGGUCCAGGCUCCUAAGGGAGGCAGCAGUGGGGAAUAUUGGACAACGGGCGAAAGCCUGAUACAGCCAUGCCGCGUGUGUGAAGAAGGUCUUCGGAUUGUAAAGCACUUUAAGUUGGGAGGAAGGGCAGUAAGUUAAUACCUUGCUGUUUUGACGUUACCAACAGAAUAAGCACCGGCUAACUUCGUG